UAGGGAAUCUUCGGCAAUGGGGGGAACCCUGACCGAGCAACGCCGCGUGAGUGAAGAAGGUUUUCGGAUCGUAAAGCUCUGUUGUUAAGGAAGAACGAGUGUGAGAAUGGAAAGUUCAUACUGUGACGGUACUUAACCAGAAAGGGACGGCUAACUACGUGCCAGCAGCCGCGGUAAUACGUAGGUCCCGAGCGUUGUCCGGAUUUAUUGGGCGUAAAGCGAGCGCAGGCGGUUAGAUAAGUCUGAAGUUAAAGGCAGUGGCUCAACCAUUGUAGGCUUUGGAAACUGGUUGACUUGAGUGCAGAAGAGGAGAGUGGAAUUCCAUGUGUAGCGGUGAAAUGCGUAGAUAUAUGGAGGAACACCAGUGGCGAAGGCGACUCUCUGGUCUGUAACUGACGCUGAGGCUCGAAAGCGUGGGUAGCAAACAGG
rnacentral:rRNA from 1 species